UACGUAGGGUGCGAGCGUUGUCCAGAAUUAUUGGGCGUAAAGAGCUCGUAGGCGGUGUGUCACGUCGGCCGUGAAAACCUGCAGCUUAACUGUGGGCGUGCGGUCGAUACGGGCAUCACUGGAGUUCGGCAGGGGAGACUGGAAUUCCUGGUGUAGCGGUGAAAUGCGCAGAUAUCAGGAGGAACACCGGUGGCGAAGGCGGGUCUCUGGGCCGAUACUGACGCUGAGGAGCGAAAGCGUGGGGAGCAAACAGG
rnacentral:rRNA from 1 species